GAGCCGUUAGCUCAGUUGGUAGAGCGCCUGACUUUUAAUCAGGGGGUCCUGGGUUCGAGUCCCAGACGGCUCACCA
rnacentral:tRNA from 1 species